rnacentral:rRNA from 1 species
GACGAACGCUGGCGGCGUGCUUAACACAUGCAAGUCGAGCGGUAAGGCCCUUUCGGGGGUACACGAGCGGCGAACGGGUGAGUAACACGUGGGUGACCUGCCCUCAGCUCUGGGAUAAGCCUGGGAAACCGGGUCUAAUACUGGAUAUGACUCCAUGACGCAUGUUGUGGGGUGGAAAGCCUUGUGCGGUUGAGGAUGGGCCCGCGGCCUAUCAGCUUGUUGGUGGGGUGAUGGCCUACCAAGGCGACGACGGGUAGCCGGCCUGAGAGGGCGACCGGCCACACUGGGACUGAGACACGGCCCAGACUCCUACGGGAGGCAGCAGUGGGGAAUCUUGCGCAAUGGGCGAAAGCCUGACGCAGCGACGCCGCGUGAGGGAUGACGGCCUGG